rnacentral:rRNA from 1 species
ACGGAGGAUCCGGGCGUUAUCCGGAAUUACUGGGUUUAAAGGGUGCGUAGGCGGAGCCUUAAGUCGGCGGUGUACUGCGGCAGCUCAACUGCCGGACUGCCGUUGAGACUGGGGAUCUUGGAUUCGGUUGGGGCAGGCGGAACUCGUGGUGUAGCGGUGAAAUGCAUAGAUAUCACGAGGAACGCCGAUGGCGAAGGCAGCUCACCGGGCCGUUAUUGACGCUGAGGCGCGAAAGCGUGGGGAUCGAACAG